rnacentral:rRNA from 1 species
CAGUAGCCGCGGUAAUACAGAGGGUGCAAGCGUUAAUCGGAAUUACUGGGCGUAAAGCGCGCGUAGGUGGUUUGUUAAGUUGGAUGUGAAAUCCCCGGGCUCAACCGGGGAACUGCAUCCAAAACUGGCAAGCUAGAGUAUGGUAGAGGGUGGUGGAAUUUCCUGUGUAGCGGUGAAAUGCGUAGAUAUAGGAAGGAACACCAGUGGCGAAGGCGACCACCUGGACUGAUACUGACACUGAGGUGCGAAAGCGUGGGGAGCAAACAGGAUUAGAUACCCCUGUAGUCCCUGUCUCUUAUAC